ensembl:snRNA U4 U4 spliceosomal RNA
AGCUUUGCGUAGUGGCAGUAUCGUAGCCAAUGAGGUUUAUCUGAGGCACAAUUAUUUGCUAAUUGAAAACUACCCAAUACCCUGCCAUGAAGACUUGCAAUAUAGUUGGCUUUGGCAAUUUUUGACAGUCUCUGGAGA